ensembl:lncRNA
UAAUUGAAUUUUAUUUAGUUUUUGAUUUUGGCUUCCAAUGAUUAGGAAAAUGCAAUGCAGCAUUCUGUUCUUUUAAAGUGCUGCACUAUUGCCCUUCCUACAUAACAGCUCCUUUGGGAAAGAGAUGCUGUUCCAUAGAAGACACUCUGUGCCCGCGAUUCAAGAUGGAGUGAAACAUACCAUGUUGGGCUUGUGGUUUGCACUUAAUGGACAAAUACACACAAAAAUGUCAGUCAGUUACCAUGUCUAAAGUGAACAUAAACAGUUGGGAAAGUAAUCGAGUGUUUGUUAGUAUAUUGUGCAUUCGGUCUUAAAGUGACAGCAGCCUAAUAAGCCUGCUGCUGUCUCUGUCAUUAACCAAACAACAAAAGAAAAUGAGUGAAUCAUUCCCUGCUUUUCACUGAAUAACUUUAGUAACUUUAACAAGAAUCAACAUGAUAGGGGCCCCUGACAAAUUUUGCUUAAGGCCCCCAGAAGUCUAAGACCAGCACUGAUUGCAAUUAUAAUAAUACUGAAAUCCUCUGAAGUAUUUUUUUUACUUCAAUCCAUACCUGAGAUGUGAGAUGGGUUCAACAUUUUACUUGAUGGAUGAUAAAAUGGGGAAUUUCCAACAGACUGUAUGUAAUGAUCAGAAUAUCACAGACUCAGAAAAUGUAAAAACCUAGUCAGUCUUCAGUUCUGGCAUCAUUACCAAUAUGGUGUUAACCCUAACCAGCUCAUUUCAGGAUGCUGAGAGGCUAUGGUGCAAUUAGUCAAGGAUGAGAUGAGCUGUGUUUGAUCCCUUUUGGUAGCUAGAGUUUCUGUUCCCUGUGAGUUGGUAUAACAUUUCCUCAUAAAUUAUUGAACCAGGCUGCAUGUUGGUGAGUCUCCUUAGUUCCCAUUCCAUUCACGUCUACGGGGACUUUGGGUCUGCAGGAGGAAAACACAUUUCACAACGGCUCAAAAUGUAAAGUUUGCAUUUGUUUUCAGUGUCCUUUCAGAGAGAUGAACUUAAGGGCCAGCUCUCAUGGAGAGCUCCAGGCUCUGACUUCACUAAGGACCCCUGCUUCAGACAGUAGUACUUUUAAGUCUCUUUCUCACAGCAGCAACAACAUGAGCGGCCGAUUCGAAAGCAUUGAAGAGCUUAAAGGAGUCUCUAAACCCACGCACCCUCCUCGAAGACCUGUACGUGCAGUCCGACCCAUGAGUGCUCUGAGUGCCAGCGGCUCCUUCCUGCAGAUCAACCACCUUCAGGGAGAACUAGUGAGGAAGAGGAAGGAAUGUGAAGACCUAAAGAAGGAGAACAAGUAUCUGUCUAAUGAAAUUCACAUGGAAAGGAUCAUGAUGAGGACUGAGAGUGAGCUCACCAUGAGAACCCUGCGCAAUCUCAACCAGGAACUCCAGGCCCAAGUUAAAGAGUUGAAACAGAAGCUGCAUCUCAGCCAGCAGAGGGCGACACUGUGCUCCAGGGCAGCUGAGGAUGCUGAUAGAGGACGAGCAGAGGCGGACAAGAGCAGGGCACUAGCGGAGGCUCGGGCAAUAGACUGCAGGCAAGAGAAAGAUCUCGCAGUAGCUGACAAAACACGGCUCAGUGAAGAACUACAUCUGCUGAAAAAAGAGCACAAUGAUGUCCAGCUACUUUUAGCACAAGCUGAAAAGAAUUACUUUGAGACCAAGCUAAAACUAGACAGGGUGUCAGGAGAAAAGCAGGCUCUCCAUGAGGAGAACAGAACGCUGGAGGGUGAGAGGAACACGUUACGACACAAACUGAAGGAGCUGACUGAGGAGAACGUGAAGAUAAUGGAAAAGGAGGUGAACUCCAGACGCAGAGCUCUGGUUGCUGAAGAGCAGAGAGAAAGGGCAAAUAAAGCUCAGCAGGAAGCGGAGCAGGAAAGACAUUUAGCUGAGCGGGAGAGGGAAGAUCGCACCAGGGAGUGUCUCAGCUGGAGAGAGAAACACCAGGUUCUGGCAGAAGUUAUCAGAGCCCAAGAAGAACUUCAGUCUCUGAGACAGACCAAAGCUUGUCAAGCUAAUAUUAAGAGCUACUUCCUGUGUAUGACUGAAAGCGACCAGAGGGUUAAGAUCCUGAAAAAUCAGGAUGGCACACCAAGGAACUUCACGGAAGGAGACCCGGUGUAUAUCUCCACGCCUGACCUCAACAGUGAAGAAUCCGAGAGAAGUUCAGGGAGCAGGACGAUGUUUAGGGUGGCUGCACCUCGAGCUGGACGGGACACAGGCCCAGCACACUUCAGCGAGCUGUCACCGAUGGCAGACUCCCAUGAAUCAGGAUUUUCAAGGAGAAACAGGAAAGUGGAAUAUUUCUGGAUCCCCACUGAUGAGGAAUAA